GUGUCCAAAUAUGCAGAUGGGAAAGUGCUUGACAUGAGAGGACCACUGUGCUGCCAGCUGAAAGAACUUGACGUCGUUCCACUCCACCCCGUCGAUCAGGACUGCAGGGGAAGGUUAAAAAAUAGAACAAUAAAACGGGAGUUGGACCACGCUGGCACUCUGCACUGCCACCUAUGUGCAUGAAGGCUUCAGGCCCAAGUGUCUCAGCCUGGUGCUCAGGGGCACCAGCUCCCUCCCAUCUCACCCAGCACCACACCACAAGCGACAAAGAACACCGCUGUGCAUCUCCAGGCCUUCUACACAGUCACCCACAGCUGACCUUUCUCUGUCCCCACUGUUGUUGCUGUGAGCGAUGCCAUCUUAGCCGCUCAGCUGCGAGCACAGACACAUCUUACAGCACAAAAAGAACCAUCACCCUUUCAAACUGUCACCUCAUCGAGCCACUUCCUGCCCACAGCAGGCUAGGAUCUGGGGACAGACUGUAACGCAGGACUGACAAGUCAGCCCCGGGGCUGCAGAACGAGGAGAGCAGCACUGCGUUCCUGGCCUUUGGCACCAGUCAGCAUUGUCUACCUUACCUUUCUUGUUCUUCUCUUUUGUCACGACGGUCAUGGACAUGGUAGGAGUGGUGGCGAUCUCCCCGCUGGCAGGUAGCCUGCUGACCUGGAGGGACCGGAAAGUGCAUUUCAGUGUGUUUUUGGUAGUGGAAGGGUCCUUCUUCUCCGGGUCUCUCUUUCUGUCCACGGGUGGAGCUGCAAUCCAGUAAUCCACCUGCAGGCCCAUCAGCUCAGCACCAAGGCCCUGGCUAGAAAACAAGAGAAGAAGCUCAUUUCUGCACGAUGCUCCGCAGAGUUCUCCCCAUCUCUGUUUUUCAGUGGCUGCUGUUCUCGACCAGACGGUGAGAGAAGUGCUUGGCUCUUUGUGAAAUCAGGCAGCAACGCUUCUUGGUGAGAUCCACGAGUCACAAACACACCAGAAGUCAUCACUGAGUGAUGCAGCCCGGGUCACAUUACAGGGUGGCGGCAGCUCAGCAGCACGGCACUGCAAUGAGCUGACCUUCUGCACAGUCGUGGAGUUAAGCAGUGGGGAAGGGAUCAGACAAACCACUUCCUAACACGGAGUGCAGUGACCCAGCUAGCAAACCUGACCCCUGAGGCAGCCCAGGGUCACUUCCAGUCUUCAAGAGGGGAUGAGAGGCUGUAAGUAAGCACCUACUGGCUGCUGUCUCCCAAGCACCGAUGAGUGAAUAGCCUGGCCAGGCACAGCACUGCCAAAACCAUCUCUGUCUGAAUUACUUCCAACUCCUAUGUCCCUGAUCUCUUCCUGUCACCAGCUUCCUUCCUUCCUGUCCAAAUGCUCCACCAGGUCACACAGCACCCCUGCUCUCUCCAGGUCCCUGUUAGGGCACGGGGCAAUCUGCUCCACAGCCCUGCUGCUGCUGGCUGGGGAACUCCUGCGCUGGGUAAAUGCUUCACAAGCCCUGUGAUGUUUGCUAAACAAUGGCAGAUUUCAGGACAUGACGUGCCAUUGAAAACUCCCGCGCAUCAUGUGGUAGCAGACGUGUCACCAAAACACGCUGUCAGCCUUUCUGAAGCCAGAAAAGGGAAGAUGAGCAACCUGGGAAAUUCCACCGUCCUCUCUGCCUGCCCCUUCCUCUCACUAACCAACCCCUGUACUCCUUCCUACACAAAGAUAGUGUUGAAUAACACGCAAGUACUGAACAAAAACUGAUCUAUCAGCCUGCUGACUAAUUAUAUUUAACAGGGUCUGGUCUGAGAAGUGGUAGUUGCUUAAAAAGAGAUUAGUUGGUGCUCUUGAAUGAAAUAAGCAUUCCUCUACAUCACUUGUGUAAUCAGAAACUCUCAAUAAAAUAAGGAUGGACCACCA